rnacentral:rRNA from 1 species
GGGGAAUAUUGGACAAUGGGGGCAACCCUGAUCCAGCCAUGCCGCGUGAGUGAUGAAGGCCUUCGGGUUGUAAAGCUCUUUUGGCGGGGACGAUGAUGACGGUACCCGCAGAAUAAGCCCCGGCUAACUUCGUGCCAGCAGCCGCGGUAAGACGAAGGGGGCUAGCGUUGUUCGGAAUUACUGGGCGUAAAGCGAGUGUAGGUGGUUUUCCAAGUUGGAUGUGAAAGCCUUGAGCUCAACUCAAGAAAUGCAUUCAGGACUGGAGGACUAGAGGACCGGAGAGGAUAGUGGAAUUCCCAGUGUAGUGGUGAAAUACGUAGAGAUUGGGAAGAACACCAGUGGCGAAGGCGGCUAUCUGGACGGUUGCUGACACUAAGACUCGAAAGCGUGGGGAGCAAAC